AAUUGUUUUUCGAAUUCCGAAGCCAAACUGGUAGGUAUCAUUCCCGGGUUAACGCGUGACUGUUUUCGGACACACAUUCGCAUUCACCAACCAACAACGUUCAGUGAAUUUCGGUGGAUUGCAGCGUGCUGGAACCGGUAACGGAAAUGCCUACCCCCGUCGCAGGGCGUUGGACAUCCACCCAAACGCGGGGGGUAAUAGAAGAAAUGAAUCUGAGCAGCGCGUGAGGGUACUACCCUGGCCGUGUUGGUACCAUGGGAAGCAGCACUGGAAUAGGGACUACCUCAACGGAUCAACCACG